rnacentral:lncRNA from 1 species
CUUUAGAGCUAAAUAUUUAUCUUCCUAACCAAAAAAAGAAAAAGAAAAAAAAGAAGAGCUUUUCUAAAAAGUAAAGUGAACCCAAUUAUUUAUUUUAUGCAAUGUGCCAGCUGCAGCAAGAUUCCUAACAAAUACAAGCUCUUCAGGCUAUUCCCUUGUAUUGGACUCUUGAAGGAGGUCGUUCAUAAUAGCAAGGUAGGUUCAGCUCAGUAUUAUCACUUGAAGCUUUCGGUUUUAUAUACCUCUUGUGCUCGCCUUCGCAUGGUUUCUGUAACCUUACUUGCAUCACUUACUAUUUCUCAACUGUCCAUAUUUUAUCACUCAAUUUACUCCCUCAAUUGAUAUCUAUUUUUGAAUUUUGAAGGAUUAUAGUACAACUGAAAAUAAAUAGCAAAAUCGUAAUAUAUUAUGUAUAAAUAUACCGAACUUGGCUACAACGUUUUAUUUUGCCUUGUUAAGGAGAAGGACAUAGUUUAUUCUUGUGAAAUUUUAAUUUAUUUUUGUAGACUAGGUUACUUGCAGUUCACCCCUCAUCCAUUUUCUAUUAGUUCUGUUUUGACAGACGUUUGGUUAUGAAACCCUUUUACUUAUCAUCUUCAGUUUUCUAUAUAUUUUCAGGACCAACGAAACAACAUCGUGGUGCUCCAAAUAUUUCUUCUACUCUUAUAGUUAUGAAACCAGAUGAGAGCUUUGUGAAUCCUGACGAGAGCUUUGUGAAUCCUGACAGUUUUAUCCAAAGGUUUAGUUUCUUUGCAUUUGUUUUUUAUUUCAUUUUACUUUAUUUUUUUAAUUUUAUGUUAUGAGUUUUUUUUUUUUUCUUGAUCCAUCUUAUUUUAAAGCAAUUAUUAUAAUUUUUAUUGAUCGAUAUUAAAUUACUCUACUCUAUGGGGAGGGUGAUUCAAACUUAGAAGCAAGGGACCAAGAGUAGUGCCCUGUAACACCCCUAUUUUCCUUACAUUAAACGAAAAAGUUAAGAUAAAAAAAGGUAAACAAGUAAUUAAGAAUCAUUACAAAUUUUUAUACUAUUAUAUUCAAAAUUUGAACAUUUUGUAAAUAAUUUGGAAAGAGAAGUGCCACAAUAUCAAAAUUUAAUUGGUAUCUAUAAAACUACAUAUUUUUUUAUGUGAACGUCUAGACGUUAUUACCUUCAGAUGCCAUGUAUUUUUUACUAUCAUUCCUUACUUUCCUUCCUGUUUACAAUGAUGUCUACACUAUAAUAACGUGCCGACACUCCAAUGAGAAAAGAACUUUAUAUAUAUAUAUAUAUAUAUAUAUGUGUGUGUGUGUACUACUAUUUAAUGCUUAUGUUAUUCACUUAACAAAGUUCCGAUUAGACUCAGCUAGUUGGUAUUUGUAUUAUACCCGUUUAUAAAAAGGCCUUUAAGAGAAGCCUCUUUGUUAAUCACUUUUGAUAGAGUUUCAUACAAAAAGAUAAUAUAUGAGAUAAAAUAGUAAUCAACAACUGCUGGGGAAAAAUAAAAUAAAAUAAAAUAAAAUCCUUAUCUUCCACUUAUCUCUCGGCUUCACAUGCAUAUAAUAUGCGUGAAAUUUUUAAUAAUUACAAUUGCUCCAUACCAUUGUUCUGAGAAAUGUAACACUAGCCCAACUUCCCAAGGCCCAAAUUAUAUCAUGCGAGGAGUUUGUCCUCUAAAGUUAUCCAUGUUUAGUUUGUCUUUAUUUUACGUUCUAAUGGCAUUAUAUGCAUUUAUAUCAGCACUGGGAAGAGGCCUCCCGCAAAAGGUGAAGGAAAUUCAGCAAGUAAAAAAUGGCCAACAGCAAAGGAAAUUUUUGACCCACAGGGGCCUUUCCUUCCAUUAUGGAACAAGAUAUUUGUAAUUGCAUGUGUGAUUGCAGUCUCAUUGGAUCCUUUGUUCUUUUACAUCCCAAACAUCAAUGAGAAAUACAAGUGCCUUGGUAAGGACAAGAAGUUGAGGACUGCAGCUCUUCUUCUGCGAACGCUCAUGGACCUCACUUUCGUAAUCCAUAUGGUACAUCAGAUUCGUGUCACGGCAAAAAUCGUGGCCUCGGAGCAUGUGUCAAGAAGAGGAAAGUCAGAUUGGUUAUGCAGAAGAAGAGAGUUGGUUAAGGCAAUGCCCUGGUUUUCCAUCCUAAUUGACUUUCUUGCUGCUCUUCCAAUCCCACAAGUAAGAGAAAGACUAAAUUAUUUGAUAUAUAUAUAUAUAUAUAUAAAUUGAUUGAUUGAUUGUUGCUUAACACAAGAAGAAAUGAUCUUAGUCCAGUCCAUUGUAAUUAUUUCUGUCAUGCAGUUAGCAAUAGGAGUUGUCUUUUUCAGAAGGAAAAGCUCUCAGUAUUUUCGCAAAAGGAGGAUUAUGACCUUCCUUCUUCUCUUCCAAUAUUUGCCAAGGGUUUAUCGAAUAUACCUAACGUAUGAGGAACUUACAAGGAUCAAAAGAUGGGUUAGAGGUGCAUUCAAUUUUUUUCUAUACAUCCUCGCUAGUCAUGUAAGUUUCGUCUCCCUCAUCAUAACUCAAUUAUUUUAUGUUUUUUUGCCUUUGAUGGAGUUGGAUUAUUUUUCUCCAUUCAAUUUUCCCAUGUCAUUCACUAUUUUGCUUGUUUGAUUAGGUACUUGGAGGUUUUUGGUACUUCUUUUCGAUCCAACGAGAGACGUCAUGUUGGCAUCAUGCUUGUAAAAGAAGUACUGAAACUUUUUGUGUAGCUAAUUAUCACUUUCAUUGCGAUGAUUAUAGUCUGGGAGACGACAUUACCACUUCAAGUAAAGUCAAAUUCCUAAAUAAAUUGUGCCCAUUAGAUCCACCAAACUCCUCAAUAUUUGAUUUUGGAAUAUUUGUUGAUGCCCUUAAGUCGGGGUCAACACCUUUUAUGCAAAAGUUCUUUCACUCUUAUUGGUGGGGCCUGCGAAAUCUCAGGUUGGCAUUAUACAAAUCAAUCACAAUGAACAAAUUUUCAGUUAUUCCGCAGUGAUUUUAUUCAGUUUUGUUCAACAUAAAGAAACACCAACUAUGCUCAUUACAAGAUUUUUCUUUUUUAUAAAAGACAUUCUAGCCUUUCUAUACAGGCUAUGAGAAUUAGGGCUUUUCAUUCCGCAUGCAUUUUGAUUAAGAUGAAUAGUUGGAGCUUGAGAUAGGAGAAAUAUUUCCCACCCGUUGCAUUGCCUCAUUUUCUCUUCUAUUUUGAUAAGUUACAUGAGGAGAGAGAUACAAACGAGGUAAUGAAACGGAAAUGGAGAAAUUUUACUUGUGAAAUAGGGAGAAAUAGUAUAAAAUAAUAAGCGAAUAGCGAGUGCGUGAAAUAGGUUAUUUUGGUUUUACUAGUUUACCCUCAUAUAACAAAUAGUGCUCUCUUUUCUCAUUAUGUGCUGUAUAUAUAGCCAUUGAAUAGUGUCUGACACAUUUUUUUUGACUCUUUAAUUAAUUGUUCUCCUUGCAGUAACUUUGGGACGAAUUUAGAAACAAGUAGUUACGUGUGGGAAAACUGCUUUGCAAUUCUAAUUUCUGUUAUUGGCUUGCUACUCUUUUUGUAUCUCAUCGGAAAUGUACAGGUUGGGAAACAAUCUUCCUUCCUAGAUCUAUUAUUAAUUGUUUUAUUUAUUUAUUUUUCUUUAAUAAAUUAUAAUUUAAAGCCUAAGUCACAAAUUGUAAUAUAAGCUUGUUUGUGGUGGAACAGACAUAUAUACAGUUGGCAACUACAAAAUCAGAGAACAUAUGCCAGAAGAUGGCAAUGAAAGACCUAGAGAUCCAAUUGUGGAUGUCUAGAAAUGGUCUUCCAGAGGAUAUGAAGACGGUGAUUAUGAAAAAUGUCAAACAAAGACUGGAACAAGACAAAGAUGCUGAUGUAGAGAAUAUGUUCUCUAUUCUCUCACAGAAUAAUAGGAAAUCUAUAAAGCGUUAUCUCUGCAUGGACACGUUGAAGAAAGUACGUAAUAUGUUCCAAUACUCACCUCUCUAUCUGGCUAUAUAAUUUUAUUUUGCAAAGUAUAUCUUAUCCAUGUAAUAGAUUUAUAGGUGAAUAUUUAUCGAUACUAUUACCUUAAAACUGAGAAAUAUUAGUAUUGUCUGCUUAUUAUUUAACAUAUGAACGAUUUAUAUCACGUGUACAAUUUCUCCUACCUCAGAAUUAAAUAUUUCUUAUUGAAUUAAUAUGUACUCUAUGUAUAGGUACCAAUGCUUCAAAGUACUGAUGAAAGGGUGUUGAAAGUGAUAUGCAACUAUUUAAAGCCAGUGAUCUACUCGGAGAAUAGCUACGUGAUUCGAGCAGGAGAACCACUUGACUUGAUGCUCUUCAUCACACAAGGAAUUAUAUGGACCUUUGCAGGUACUCACAUUGAUGGUUCUGGAAAAUUAAAUGGUUCCUCUUCAUCAUCAACAUCAUCAAUCACAAGGUGUCUUGAGAAAGGCGAUUUUUACGGGGAAGAACUUCUUAGCCGAAUUUCGACAUACAUCUCCUUUUCGGACCUUCCUAUCUGCACUGACAAUGUGAAAUGUCAUACAAAAGUAGAAGCGUUUGCUCUACUAGCCAAGGACUUGAAGACGGUAGUGACUGAAUUUUGGUGGUAUUUUCCCACUUUGAACAAUUCGGAGUUGGAGGAGAAGUUGGCACUUUCUUCCGUUCGAGCAGUCCGUCGACGCAAUCGAGAAAAGAAGGCUACAAGGUCUUCCAAGUUGGCUGCUGAUCAUCGAGAGCAAAGGCUCGCAUAUCAACGACUACAUGCGUCCUGUUAAUUUAUCGCUACUAAGUAUAAAAUGUAUAAACAAAUAAAAUCCAAUAUUUCCCUCUUGCCUUUGUUUAACACCAUAUCUACCCACACUUGCUAUUGAUGUUAGACUUGUGUGAUUCCCUAAUACUACUUACAAUUGAAAGUUAUUGUAAGUUAUUGUAAUGGUGUGUUUACUAAUUAGGA